GUGGUUUCUAUGUGAUGAAGUACAUGAGAGAGAUAGUGAUAAAUAGUCAUCCUUGGACGAUUGGUUCUCUACAAUCUUUGUUCAAUGCUCAUGAAAAGUAUUCAAAUGAAGAGAUAGAUGUAGUGCGAUCAGAGUGGGCAGAUUGUGUUCAAGAAUAUAUAAAGGAGUAAAAGGAUAUGUAGUGGUGAUGGCAAAGAAGACAAUAUUGGACGUAUUGGUUGAUGCAUCACAUUUUGAAGGAACGAAGGAGCAACAAGUGUUAACUCAUUUGAAUGCUAAGAUUCAAUUUAUUUGGUAGUGGAUCCACAAAUCAUGUUUACUCAUUUUAGUUAUAUAUAGUUUUUGUUAGAAUUUAGCUUAAGUGUUAGUAUUUUGUAAUGGAAUAUGGUAGAAUUGAUUUGGACGAAUCUUAAUUGUAAUGAAUAUUGAAAUUUUAUAAUGAUUAUAUUAUAAAUGAAAAUGAUUUUCUUA